rnacentral:tRNA from 1 species
GGCAACAUAGCUCAGGGACAGAGACCUUGCCUAGCAUGCUGGAGGCCCUGGGUUCAAUCCCUAGUGUGGCUU